UUUAAAAAAAAAAAAAAUUUUUUUUUUUAAUUUAAAAACUGCACUUCACUUUCAUUGUGUGGGUCAAGGGUCAGAUAAGACUGGGGACAAGUCAGCCAGCACAGUGACUGAAAGUACUUCAGUAACCAACAUAUAAGACAGGAUCCCAAUAGUCCAGCCUACAGCAUCUGAGGAGAAAGACCUAGCAGGCUGGUUGGCACUGCCAUCUGACAUAGCUUUGGUCUUCUAAGACAUUACUGAGUUGUUUUGUGCUCAGUUGUCUCUAAACUCGGGUCCUUGAUGAAUCGUAUAAAAGUGACCAAGAGGGUGUGGAGAGAUCACUUCCAUCUGCAACAGUGACUAGAGCAUCAGCAAUGAAGAUUCAGCAAUGAUGAAACCUGAGUCCGAGAAAGGCAGGCGGGUGAAGAAGGCCUCUUCCCUGUACCAGCAUGGAAAAGCAUUCCUUCCCAGUUAAGUAGAGAGCCGGGCAAAAUGAUCUGCAUCAAGUGAAUGGGUUCGUUACCCUCUCUGACAGCAGAGAACUGGAUAAGGCCGAGCCAGAGACUCUAGCGGAGCCCUGCUCCCAAAAGUCACUGUUUGAAAGAGAGACAAGCACCUUCAGGAAGGCAAGGCAUUGGCCAACAAAGGCUUCUUAUCCAAGUCAACUUCACUAAUCCAAGACUGAUCACAGGAGAAGCGAGUACCACUCUAAGGGUGCUCUGGAUAGGAACGCAGUGGAAUAGACCUUUCUUCCAUUCUUUGGUGGGCUGGGCGUACCUCCUCUUGGAGCUUCCCGGGACCCUCAGCUCGGUCUCCUGGUAGCAAGAUUAUACAAGGGGCCAAUGUCACCAGCUUUGAAAUAUAACUGACUGUCUUAAGUGGAGAACAGGCUGAGGUCUAUUCGUCCCUCGGGGAAGGAUAUUUACACUUCUAGAUGGUCCCCAGGUGGCAAACAUCUGAGGGGCGCUCAUUUCUUCUGAGCAGCCCGGGAGGGAAGGACCACCAGAACUGGGCACUGAUGUCUGUUUGGGUGAGAUGAAGCCAAGGUGGUAAAAGCAGAAGAAAAUGAGGGCUCAGCUGAAGUGCUAGGAAGCUCUAAGGUGUCAGUGGGCUGUAUGGAGUGAGGAGCUCUGACGCCGAUGAAUGGCAGUUGGAACACGCGGCCCUCGAGGUUGAUAGCGCGAUCCUCCUGAGCAGGCGCACAUCCUUGGAACCUUUGCACAGAACACAGGAACGGCAAUCCCAACAGACUCUCUGGGGCCCACUGAUUCACGCAGGUGUUUGGGACCAUUUUGUUGAUAAGUCUCCAGCACCAGGCAAGGGGCAACAGCUUGGAAGAUCAGUGCCUGCCAUCCUCUUGCCCUUAUCCCAGGAACACUGGAAGUCACAGUCUGUUCCAGGCAACCCAGAAACAAGAAGACAAGCCGGGUCCUUGCAAGUAAGGAAGGUGCUAUAAACCCAAGUGCCUGUGAGAUCGACAACCCCCCCCCCCAAAAAAAUGAAAGAGCAACAGUCACUUGUUCUACAACUGCUGGACUUGGAUAUCAACUUGAGCAGAUGAAAGGACACUCUGAGUGUUUUCUAACUGGGCUCAGGACUCGUCUCUUCGUGUGAUUUCAAGGUUGAUAUUUGGAUUAGAAUGACUAGGCUGCCCAGCUGUGCCUGUGUGGCACAUUCUGCUCGGGGACUGGUAUGUGCACACAAUGUACACAUGGCCACAAGGACCACAACACACCCAUGGAAGUCAAAGAACAACUUCGUGGAGUCUGUUUCCUUCUUCCACCUUCACUUGGGUUCCAGGAAUCAAACUCGGGUCACCAUGUUUGUACAGCAAGCCCCUUUACCCUAUGAGCCAUCUCAUCAGCCCCAUUUUUCCCUGUACCUGUUGGCCUUCAGUAGGUCUUUUGAAAAAAAAUGUCUACUGAGAUGCUUAACCCAUUGUUUACUGGGCUAUUCUCUUUCUUGUUUUUUUUUGGGGGGGAGGGGGGCUUCUUAUAUCUUUUAGACAAGACCCACCUGUCAGCCUGCAUGUUUGCAAAUAUUUUCUCCCACUCUGUAGGUUAUCUCUUCGCUCGGUGAGUUGCUUCGUCUACAAUGCAAAGCACUUCAGGCUAAUGAGAUCCCAUUUGUCUGUGGUGGCUUUCCCUGCCUGUACUUUCAGGCUCGUACCCAUAAAACCUCCCUAUUAAGUUUCUUAUUAACAGUCGCAACAUUAGCCCUACAUAUUUAAUAAGAUGAUGAGGACCAAAUUUGGUAAUUUCCUAAAAUGCAUCCACCCUCCCCAACUCUGGGACCUUUGAAGUUAUUCAUUUACAUGAGUCAGGAAAACAAUGCCAUAAAAACCCAAAAUAUAUGUCAGUAAGUAACUUUCCCAGUUAAUAAAGCACAAAGAAAUGCUUCUAUGUUCCUAGCUAGGAACAAACACACACCAAUUGUAUUUUCCAACUCUUAUAAGAAGUAACAUUUUUCCCUAGAAGAGAUGUUACACACUGGUUUUUCAUCCAAAAGGGAGAACAUAUUAACUUAUAUCCAAAGAGAACAAUGGUGUGGCUUGAACGGGGCAUGCCACACACAGGCUAAUGUGUUUGAACAUCUGGACCCAGCUAGCUGCACUGUUGCAAAACCUUUAGGAGGUAGAGCCUCAUGGAGUCAAGCCUUGAGGAUUGAUAUCCACACACACACUCCCUACUUCCUGGUCAUGCUGUGUUUUCUAGCUAUAGAUGUGUCGUCCUAUUGAGAGAGCAGCUAUCUGUACUCCUGAUGCCAUGCUGUGGUAGCUAAUCUAGGUUGUCAACUUGACACACUAGAGAAGAGGGAACCCCAGUUGAACUGCCUCCAUCAAACUGACCUGUGGCCACAUCUGUGAGACAUUUUAUUACUGAUUGAUGCUUCGGCAGGUGGUGUUGUCUCAUGACUAGUCAGCCUGGACUGUGUAAGAGAGGUAGCUGGGCAUGAAUUUCAAAGAAGCAGGUCAGUAAGCAGUAUUCCUCCUCCAUUGUUUCUGCUUCAAGCUCCUUGAGUUCUACCUUAGCAUCUGUAUUAGGGUUCUCUAGAGUCACAGAACUUAUAGUCUCUAUAUAGUAAAGGAAUUUAUUGAUGACUUACAGUCUGCAAUGCUGUGAAUGGAAGUCCAAGGAUCUAGCAGUUGCUCAGUCCCACAUGGCAAGCAGGCGAAAGAGUGAGAGUGAGACUCCCUUCUUCCAAUGUCCUUAUAUGGUCUCCAGCAGAAGGUGUAGCCCAGAUUAAAGGUGUGUGCUACCACAACUUUAAUCCCAGAUGACCUUGAACUCGGAGAUUUCCCUGUCUUAAUCUUCUGGAAUCCAUAGUCAGUAUGUCUCAAGUUCUCCAUACCAAGAUCCAGAUCAGAAACUUUCAUCUCCCAACCUCCAGAUUAGGGUCACUGGUGAGCCUUCCAAUUCUGGAUUGUAGUUCAUUCCAGAUAUAGUCAAGUUGACAACCAGGAAUAGCCACUACAGCAUCCCUCAAUGAUGGACCCUAACUUGUUAAAUGAAAUAAAACCUUUUCUCCACACCUUGCUUCCAGUCUUGGUGUUUAUCACUGCAACAAACAGCAAACAGGAAUGUGCCUUUUCUGUCAUGAGAGGGCUACAUCACCUCAUGGCGUAAAGUGAAAUAAGCCCUUUCUUCCUUAAGUUGCUUCUUGGAAGAUAUAUUUUUAUCACAGCAACCAGAAAAGUAACUAAUGCAAGUAUACCUGAUUGUCAGGAGCCAUCUAGGAGAGGCUAAGGCUAGCAGGUGGCCUCCCUGGAGGUGGCCGACUGCUUUUGCAUGGUCUGCGAUGGGUGAGCCCUGAGAGGCAAGGCCCCAAAGAGACUUCAUCUCAGGAUUGUUUCUUGUAGCUGAUAUGCCUUUCCUGUCAU
rnacentral:lncRNA from 1 species